AACCCUACGGGGGGCAGCAGUGAGGAAUAUUGGUCAAUGGUCGGGAGACUGAACCAGCCAAGCCGCGUGAGGGAGGAAGGUACAGAGUAUCGUAAACCUCUUUUGUCAGGGAACAAAGGCGGGGACGUGUCCCCGGAUGAGUGUACCUGAAGAAAAAGCAUCGGCUAACUCCGUGCCAGCAGCCGCGGUAAUACGGAGGAUGCGAGCGUUGUCCGGAUUUACUGGGUGUAAAGGGUUCGUAGGCGGG
rnacentral:rRNA from 1 species